GAUGAACGCUGGCGGCGUGCCUAAUACAUGCAAGUAGAACGCUGAAGGAGGAGCUUGCUCUUCUGGAUGAGUUGCGAACGGGUGAGUAACGCGUAGGUAACCUACCUGGUAGCGGGGGAUAACUAUUGGAAACGAUAGCUAAUACCGCAUGACAACAGUUAUUGCAUGAUAACUGUUUAAAAGGGGCAACUGCUCCACUACCAGAUGGACCUGCGUUGUAUUAGCUAGUUGGUGAGGUAACGGCUCACCAAGGCGACGAUACAUAGCCGACCUGAGAGGGUGAUCGGCCACACUGGGACUGAGACACGGCCCAGACUCCUACGGGAGGCAGCAGUAGGGAAUCUUCGGCAAUGGACGGAAGUCUGACCGAGCAACGCCGCGUGAGUGAAGAAGGUUUUCGGAUCGUAAAGCUCUGUUGUAAGAGAAGAACGAGUGUGAGAGUGGAAAGUUCACACUGUGACGGUAUCUUACCAGAAAGGGACGGCUAACUACGUG
rnacentral:rRNA from 1 species